CAUUAGCAAAAGUCAUGUUUUAGUGGCUAUUGUGUUUCAUCCAUGCUUUUUGUUUGGGAAAUAUAUCAACAUGGAAAAGAAAACUGGUCUUCAAACCAUCCAUCCAUCAUGUGGUCAUGAGUUAUGUGCUAAAUAUUCAUAAAAAGGAGUGAGAAAAAGACAAAGAGAGAGAGGGUGAGAGGGAGUGAUCCUGUAUCCGUGAUCCUGCUCCUGUGUUGUUCUUCUGGAUUGGAUGUUGUCUGGGCAGACAGCUUGACAAAUGAUACUGUUUGCUUUCAUCGAAUGGAAAAUAGCAGGCUGAACAUUCCUCAGAAUUUCACACAGGUGUGAAACAACAUGAGGAUUGCUUUUAGUGUGAUGGGUGUGGAGCUUUCUGUGAUAAUAAUACUUUCCACCCAAAUGGACUGAUCUUGGGGAAAAAAAAGAUUCAUCUGAUAAAACUAAUGAGGGAC
ensembl:lncRNA